rnacentral:rRNA from 1 species
AUUGAACGCUGGCGGCAGGCCUAACACAUGCAAGUCGAGCGGAGCGGCGGACGGGCGAGUGAUGCCUAGGUAUCUGCCUGGUCGUGGGGGAUAGCGUCAGGUAACGGGCCCUAAUCCCGACUACUAUUUGCUGAGCCUAGGUCGGAUUAGCUAGUUGGUGGGGUAACGGUUUACCAAGGCGACGAUCCGUAGCUGGUCUGAGAGGAUGAACAGUCACACUGGAACUGAGACACGGUCCAGACUCCUACGGGAGGCAGCAGUGGGGAAUAUUGCACAAUGGGCGAAAGCCUGAUGCAGCCAUGCCGCGUGUGUGAAGAAGGUCUUCGGAUUGUAAAGCACUUUAAGUUGGGAGGCGUUACCCACAGAAGAAGCACCGGCUAACUUCGUGCCAGCAGCCGCGGUAAUAC